rnacentral:rRNA from 1 species
CCCUUAGAUGUUCUGGGCUGCACACGUGCUACACUGGCAGGUUCAGCGAGCUUCAUGCCCUGAUCUGAAAGGAAUGGGAAAUCUUUUCAAAACCUGCCGUGCUUGGGAUAGAUGUUUGCAAUUAUUCAUCUUCAACGAGGAUUGCCUUGUAAGCGCACGUCAUCAGCGUGCAUUGAAUACGACCCUGUAUUCUGUACACACCGCCCGUCGCUCCUACCGAUUGAACGGUCCGGUGAAAUCUUGGGAUUUGCUUUGCUUUCGUUUGUUCGAUGCUCGGCGAAGAACUUGAGUAAACCUUACCGUUUAGAGGAAGGUGAAGUCGUAACA